UUUGACAAUAAAAUGUACUUAAUACAUGAUAAACAUUGUGUACAGGAGAAUCUCAUAAAAAUAGUGGUCAAUUACAUCAUAUAAAAAAUUUGAACUGAAUUACAUUAUAUAAUUUGGUUCUAUACAAAAGGAAAUUUCCUCUUUUGUGUAUAUAUCCUAAAGACCACCCCCUUGUGAUGAACGCUUUGUCCGUCAAGUCAAAUGGCACAGCUCCUGCCCUUUAUGGCAAAAUAAAGGAGUCUGCAAUACCCAUCAAUGUCCAAAGAAAAAAGAUUAUGUAAUGCAUCGCAACUGAUUGAUUGUUUCAUCUCCGCAACUAUAAAUCGUGUCUUCAAAAGGUUGCAGAAGCUCUAAACUUCUCCGGAAUAGAUGCAACAGAAAAGAAUAAGCUAUACCAUACUCAAGUUGACCACUCCAACAAAGAUCGUUAUAAAACAGAAACUUCAAAGGCCAUAUCAGGUAAUGUGUUGAUAGGAUUUAGAAAACAAUUUCUUGAAAACGAAUAUAUUUCUCAACACUAAAAUAAAAAUGCAUCAAGCACAAUGGUUCCACUACACUAUGUCGAUGCCUAAUUGCUAAUUUACAUUUUACGAUUGAUGGAACAAACAACAUAUAAAGAAUCACGUUUGAAGUAUAUCAAAAGCUUGUAGCUUGGAAAGCGAAAACAAGACAAGACACAUGAGACUUGUAGGACAUACAUUUCUCAAAGAACACAACCGAACCUUAGUGUAUAAAGAUCAUAGUGCUCGACCACCAAUCCUUGAACUGGUUAAAGUACAAACAAAAUUAAUCCUGUCGUAGAAUAAAACCAUUAUGACCUACUAAAUCCAACCUGACAAAAUGAUCCACAAAACAUUUGAUGUGUCGUUAAUUGCCAGUUGUUAUUUUUUUUGGAAAAAAGCCAUGGCGCAACAUAUAUUGUAUUGCCGUUUACAGAACAAAGGAAAUUCAAGCAAUAUUUUAACAUUAACUUUAUCUUCCAUCCUAAUGAUAGCCUCAUACAGCGCCACAUCUUUAAGCUUGAGCUUUUGAAAAAUACCAUACAAAUAUGUUAGAUGGGUGCAAACGCUUCUAUUCUCGUUAUUAAUUUGUUGCAAUGUAAAUUUGUAAGAUAUACAUACAAUUCCAGCUAGAAAUACACUGACAAAUUGCCAUUGAAAUCAUCAUAGGAAAUUAAGAACAGGUUCCACCUUUUUCUUGAAAGAAAAUAAAGAAAGAAAGAACAUACCGGAAGUUUAAUAUGAGUAGCAAAGAGGUGGAGAACCAUAAUCCUUCUUCGGGAAGAGACAACAGCGGGCGGCUUGGUGCCUGCUGAGGAACGUGUGACAUUAUUGGA
rnacentral:lncRNA from 1 species